GCGUGACUUGAAGGGAGUGAGGGAGACGCGAGGUUUAAAAACCGCCCUUUAUCUUUUUUUUUUUUAAACUUCCCAGAGAAUUGCUGCCUGAAAGAGGAUGCACACUCCCUGUCCUGACAACAUGAACACAUUUUACAGAUGAAGAAACCGAGGCCUGGGGAAGAGAUCUGCCCGAGGUCAUACAAAGAAGUUGGGGAAUCCAGAUCUGACUCCCAUUCAGUCCAGUGCUCUAAUAAUAACUUGAAAGAAGUGUGUGAGUAUACAAAGCAUUAGCAACCUAGAACAAGGCUCAAGGCACUAUGCUAAACUGGAAGGCUGCUGCUUCAAUGAGUCAGGACAUCAGGCUCUAUCAGCAGCUCAGCUCUUACCUGUCACUGGGACAACACCGUGCCUUGCUGUGGUAGAAGAAGCCUUGGGAACUAGCAUGGUCCUGUUGCUGCCACAGACAGGUAACAUUCUUCAGGUCCAAGGUGAAACAUCUCAGCCCAAUUUCCACUGAGGUCAAAGAAUAGCAAGUGAGAUCCUCAAAUGUUUGGGAGAAACAGUUCAGAGGCUCUGAGUCCAAGGCCAGCAAGGAGGCAUCUAGGAAACAGUUGAGAUGAGGGAACUGAGGUGCUGAGAAGUUAAAGAUUUGCCCAAGGUCAUAUACCUACUAAGAGGUAAAGUUCAGAUGGUCAAACUUCAGAACCCAAGCACUUAACAUCUAUGCUAUGCUACUGGAAGAUGUAAUUUGCCAAAAUGACUGUUUGCUUCACAACCAUGGCAAAAUGGAUGAGCUGGGGUUCAAAACAGGCCUUAGGAAAGGUUUAAUUCAAGUACCUGUGAAAAGGACUGUGAUGGUUAGGUUCAUGUGUCAGCUUGGCCAGGUGAUGGUGCCCAGGUGUCUGGUCAAGCAAGCACUGGCCUAACUGUUACUGCAAGGACAUUUGUGACUGGUUAAUAAACUAGA